CGCAUUCAAAUCACACUGUUCCAUGCUGAUUAAUUUCAGUUAUGUCAAUAUCAUGGAGCGGCUACUAGAACCUGAACGUAUGAUAGUCUUUCGAGUUCCAUGGAUUGAUGACCGUGGUGA
rnacentral:sRNA from 1 species